rnacentral:rRNA from 1 species
GAAUCAUCGAAUCUUUGAACGCACAUUGCGCCCGCCAGCACUCUGGCGGGCAUGCCUGUUCGAGCGUCAUUUCAACCAUCAAGCCCCAGGCUUGCGUUGGAGCCCUGCGGCUGCCGCAGCCUCCCAAAAGCAGUGGCGGGCUCGCUAUCACACCGAGUGCAGUAGAUUACUCUUCGCUCAGGGCGUGUGGCGGGUUCCAGCCGUGAAACCCCCUACUUCUCAAGGUUGACCUCGGAUCAGGUAGGAAUACCCGCUGAACUUAAGCAUAUCAAUAAGCGGAGGAAAAGAAACCAACAGGGAUUGCCCUAGUAACGGCGAGUGAAGCGGCAACAGCUCAAAUUUGAAAUCUGGCUCCGGCCCGAGUUGUAAUUUGCAGAGGAAGCUUCUGGUGAUAUACCGUCUAAGUCCCCUGGAACGGGGCGCCACAGUGGGUGAGAGCCCCAUUUGACGGAUGUAGAUCCUGUGUGAAGCUCCUUCGACGAGUCGAGUAGUUUGGGAAUGCUGCUCAAAAUGGGAGGUAAAUUCCUUCUAAAGCUAAAUAUUGGCCAGAGACCGAUAGCGCACAAGUAGAGUGAUCGAAAGAUGAAAAGCACUUUGAAAAGAGGGUUAAACAGCACGUGAAAUUGUUGAAAGGGAAGCGCUUGUGACCAGACUUGCGCUGGGCUGACCAUCCGGUGUUCUCACCGGUGCACUCGGCCCAGCUCAGGCCAGCAUCGGUUUUGGCGGGGGGAUAAAGGCGCUGGGAACGUGGCUCCCCCGGGAGUGUUAUAGCCCAACGUGCAAUGCCCCCGCUGGGACCGAGGUUCGCGCAUCUGCAAGG